CAGUGGUCAUAGCAAAGGGGUGCACCUGAUCCCAUUCCGAACUCAGUAGUUAAGCCCUUUAGCGUCGACGAUAGCCUAACGGUGAAAAUAGAACGCCGCUUUUUU
rnacentral:rRNA from 1 species